GUACUGCUUUAAGAUUAGAUCAGAGCACCUGGCAACUGGACAGGAAAGUCAAAUUUUGGCAGGAAGUCCAUUAUUGCAACAGAAUUUUGGAAAUCAGCUAAAAUUUACAAAAACAGACUCCCUCUUUUUUUCUUUCUUAAGACUACAACUCAUAUUGCUCUUGGACUAGUAUUCUCUAAUAAAUCAGUUGUUUAAUAGAUUAUUACGCUGCCAUUUUCAUCUGUAUCAAUACUAAGACAAACUUAUUCAAAUAUAAUUUAAAAUAACACAGCAAAAUACCCAUUAACAUACAUGACAAUUAAACUGCGCACUUCAAAAUGAGUAACCAAAACAAACAUUUAUGACAAUCAUCAUUCACACAGAAUAAACUUCUAACAGCUGUAUUCAGAACAUAUUAUUGUAAGGUAUACCAAUUUUAGUUUGUAUUGGAUUUAUUUAAGAUUUCUGGUACCAAAGGGUUUAUUUUUUAUUUUUUACAGAAGGGAUCCCGUACGGCCAUAUAACGCGUUUGACUUAAACAUUUGUAUAACACUUGCAUUAACCAGUUGCAACAUAUGUACCCUGUCAAUGGAAUUUCUCUCUUAUACGCUUAUAGAACAUUUGGACCAGAUUACACAGACAUGGUAUCACCUGCAUUUGUCAGAACUCUCAAAGACUCAAAAUAUUUAUACUACUCC